ACUCCUACGGGAGGCAGCAGUGGGGAAUAUUGCACAAUGGAGGAAACUCUGAUGCAGCAACGCCGCGUGGAGGAUGACGCAUUUCGGUGUGUAAACUCCUUUUAUAGGGGAAGAUAAUGACGGUACCCUAUGAAUAAGCACCGGCUAA
rnacentral:rRNA from 1 species